AGUGAACGCUGGCGGUAGGCCUAACACAUGCAAGUCGAACGGCAGCACAGGAGAGCUUGCUCUCUGGGUGGCGAGUGGCGGACGGGUGAGGAAUACAUCGGAAUCUACUCUGUCGUGGGGGAUAACGUAGGGAAACUUACGCUAAUGCCGCAUACGACCUACGGGUGAAAGCAGGGGACCUUCGGGCCUUGCGCGAUUGAAUGAGCCGAUGUCGGAUUAGCUAGUUGGCGGGGUAAAGGCCAACCAAGGCGACGAUCCGUAGCUGGUCUGAAAGGAUUAUCAGCCACACUGGAACUGGGACACGGUCCAGACUCCUACGGGAGGCAGCAGUGGGGAAUAUUGGACAAUGGGCGCAAGCCUGAUCCAGCCAUACCGCGUGGGUGAAGAAGGCCUUCGGGUUGUAAAGCCCUUUUGUUGGGCAAGAAAUCCAGCUGGCUAAUACCCGGUUGGGAUGACGGUACCCAAAGAAUAAGCACCGGCUAACUUCGUGCCAGCCGCCGCAGUAA
rnacentral:rRNA from 1 species